GACGAACGCUGGCGGCGUGCUUAACACAUGCAAGUCGAGCGGUAAGGCCCUUUCGGGGGUACACGAGCGGCGAACGGGUGAGUAACACGUGGGUGACCUGCCCUCAGCUCUGGGAUAAGCCUGGGAAACCGGUCUAAUACCGGAUAUGACUCCAUGACGCAUGUUGUGGGGUGAAAGCCUUGUGCGGCUGAGGAUGGGGCCCGCGGCCUAUCAGCUUGUUGGUGGGGNAUGGCCUACCAAGGCGACGACGGGUAGCCGGCCUGAGAGGCGACCGGCCACACGUGGGACUGAGACACGGCCCCAGACUCCUACGGGAGGCAGCAGUGGGGAAUCUUGCGCAAUGGGCGAAAGCC
rnacentral:rRNA from 1 species